rnacentral:tRNA from 2 species
GUCUCUGUCAUGCAGUCGGUUAGUGAGCGAGUUAGGCUGUUAACCGGAAGGUUGGUGGUUCGAGCCCACCCAAGGACA